rnacentral:tRNA from 1 species
GGUGGUACAGCUCAAGUGGUAGAGCGCAUGCUUAGCAUGCACAAGGUCCUGGGUUCAAUCCCCAGUACCCCCU